rnacentral:rRNA from 1 species
GACGAACGCUGGCGGCGUGCUUAACACAUGCAAGUCGAACGGAAAGACCCUGCUUUUGUUGGGUGCUCGAGUGGCGAACGGGUGAGUAACACGUGAGUAACCUGCCCUUGACUGUGGGAUAACUUCAGGAAACUGGGGCGAAUACCCGAUAGGAGCUCCUGCUGCAUAUUGUUGGUUGGAAAGUGUCGGCGGUUGGGGAUGGACUCGCUGCUUAUCAGCUGGUUGGUGGGGUAGUGGCUGACCAAGUCUUUGACGGAUAGCCUGCCUUAGAGGGUGACCGGGCACAGUGGGCCUGCGAUACGGACAAGAUUCAUACGGGCGGCAGGAGGGGGAAACAUGACGGAGUAGGACGACGUUUGAUGUGACGACGUCGGGUGCGGGAUGAAGGCUUUCGAGUUGUAAACCGCUUUGGCCUGUGACGAGGACUGAGUGACGGUAACGGGUAAGGAAGCAGCGGCUAACUACGUG